UGAGGAAUAUUCCACAAUGGGCGCAAGCCUGAUGGAGCGACGCCGCGUGCGGGAAGAAGGCCUUCGGGUUGUAAACCGCUUUUGUGGGGGAUGAUACAAAAGGAGCCAAUACCUCCUUUCUAGGACAGUACCCCGCGAAUAAGCCUCGGCUAACUACGUGCCAGCAGCCGCGGUAAUACGUAGGAGGCGAGCGUUGUCCGGAUUUACUGGGCGUAAAGGGCGCGCAGGCGGCACGGCAAGUAAGGUGUGAAAUCUCCUUGCUCAACGAGGAGGGUGCACCAUAGACUGCCGAGCUAGAGGACGGUAGAGGGGGGUGGAAUUGCUGGUGUAGCGGUGAAAUGCGUAGAGAUCAGCAGGAACACCCGUGGCGAAGGCGGCCCCCUGGGCCGUACCUGACGCUGAGGCGCGAAGGCUAGGGGAGCGAACGG
rnacentral:rRNA from 1 species